CAAUAGCGUAUAUUAAAGUUGUUGCGGUUAAAAAGCUCGUAGUUGGAUUUCUGCUGAGAACGACCGGUCCGCCCUUUGGGUGUGUAUCUGGCUCUUUCUUGGCAUCUUCUUGGUGAACGUUGCUGCACUUGACUGUGUGGAGCGCUACCCAGGACUUUUACUUUGAGGAAAUUAGAGUGUUUCAAGCAGGCAUACGCCUUGAAUACAUUAGCAUGGAAUAAUAAGAUAGGACCUCGGUUCUAUUUUGUUGGUUUCUAGAGCUGAGGUAAUGAUUAAUAGGGAUAGUUGGGGGCAUUCGUAUUUAACUGUCAGAGGUGAAAUUCUUGGAUUUGUUGAAGACGGACUACUGCGAAAGCAUCUGCCAUGGAUGUUCUCAUUGA
rnacentral:rRNA from 1 species